rnacentral:lncRNA from 1 species
UUUGAUUUGGGAGUAUGAGAAAGUAGAAGGAAAAGAGUGAACUCUUGUGCUUAAUUGACUAGUCUUUAUGGGAUAAGUAGAGAAACUUCUAGCUUAAUUUGUGAAAAGUCUUGGCCCCCAAAGAAAAAAAAAAGAAAAAAAAAAGAAAGAAUAAAGAAAAAGGGGCUAGCAAAAUUAGUAUGAGCUAAGAGAUGUUCAAAAAGUGUAAGAAAUCCCUUGUAAAAAAAAAAAAGAGUUUUAUGUUGGGAAAUGCUUUUGAAGUCUUGGGUGAGAGAUGUGAGUUGGGUUUGGAAUGGGAUAAUGAAUGUGUAUCAUAUAUGUUUGGGAAAAUGGUAGAACAAUGGAGAUUGAGCAUUGUAUGCAUGAGUUGAUCCCUUUCUUACAUAUAUUAUGUGCAAUGUCAAGGCUACAUGUCUUGAGAGUAUACCACCUUAAAUAUCAUAUAUCUUGAACCCCUUGACUCACUUGAUUAAAAAGCCUCCCCUUACCCAAAUGAUUUGGACCAAUUGACCAUUUGCAAGAAUUCACUUGAUGCUAUGCUUAAUGAACUUGAGAGUUGGCUAAUUUGCAUGUGUGAAUGCAUGAUGAUGAGUGUAGGGAUGAAAAGAGUUGAGAUGGGCCUAGAGAAGCUAGAGUAUAAUAAGAGAAGGUGUACUAAUGCUGAAUUUAGAUGUUGAUUUGAGUGCUUUGUGUGUUUAUUUUGGCUAUGAGCUCCCACCUUCAAACCUCUCUCCCUAUGAGUUCUAGAAAGUUCACUUGAGAACAAGU